AGCGGAAAAAGGGCACU
rnacentral:tRNA from 1 species